GACGAACGCUGGCGGCGUGCCUAAUACAUGCAAGUUGAGCGCUGAAGGUUGGUACUUGUACCAACUGGAUGAGCAGCGAACGGGUGAGUAACGCGUGGGGAAUCUGCCUUUGAGCGGGGGACAACAUUUGGAAACGAAUGCUAAUACCGCAUAAAAACUUUAAACACAAGUUUUAAGUUUGAAAGAUGCAAUUGCAUCACUCAAAGAUGAUCCCGCGUUGUAUUAGCUAGUUGGUGAGGUAAAGGCUCACCAAGGCGAUGAUACAUAGCCGACCUGAGAGGGUGAUCGGCCACAGUGGGACUGAGACACGGCCCAAACUCCUACGGGAGGCAGCAGUAGGGAAUCUUCGGCCAUGGACGAAAGUCUGACCGAGCAACGCCGCGUGAGUGAAGAAGGUUUUCGGAUCGUAAAACUCUGUUGGUAGAGAAGAACGUUGGUGAGAGUGGAAAGCUCAUCAAGUGACGGUAACUACCCAGAAAGGGACGGCUAACUACGUG
rnacentral:rRNA from 1 species